GACGAACGCUGGCGGCGUGCUUAACACAUGCAAGUCGAACGGAAUGGCCCUGCUUUUGUGGGGUACUCGCGUGGCGAACGGGUGAGUAACACGUGAGUAACCUGACCUUGACUUUGGGAUAACUUCAGGAAACUGGGGCUAAUACCGGAUAGGAGCUCCUGCUGCAUGGUGGGGGUUGGAAAGUUUCGGCGGUUGGGGAUGGACUCGCGGCUUAUCAGCUUGUUGGUGGGGUAGUGGAUUACCAAGGCUUUGACGGGUAGCCGGCCUGAGUGGGUGACCGGCCACAUUGGGACUGGCGGACGGCCCAGACUACUACGGGAGGCAGCAGUGGGGAAUAUUGCAAAAUGGGCGGAAGCCUGAUGCAGCAACGCCGCGUGCGGGAAAACGGCCUUCGGGUGGUAAACCGCUUUCGCCUGUGACGAAGCGUGAGUGACGGUAAUGGGUAAAGAAGCACCGGCUAACUACGUG
rnacentral:rRNA from 1 species